rnacentral:lncRNA from 1 species
GGAUGAUCUGCUGAAUGGGGUUGCAGAGCUACUGAUUGAGGGAUGCAGUGGAAAAUAAGCUUUCUUUUGAAUGGAAUAGGCUGCUGCUUCUUUAAUAAAAUAAUAUAAAAUUCCUUGGUUGCAAUUAUCUUAACGUAGGUUGUUUCCAAAAUUGAAUAAUGCUCUGCUUCCAAAAUAAAGCAACUUAAGUGAACUAUACAGGCCUGGAAGAAGGGUAGGGAUUCUCUAAAAGGCGACUGUGUAGAGUACUACAUUGGUCUUUGAGAAUAUGCAGCAGAUGCGUAUAAUAUUGAGAACAGUGAUGGAUGGG